AACGCACAUUGCGCCCUUUGGCAUUCCGAAGGGCAUGCCUGUUCGAGCGUCAUUAUCAACCCUCAAGCCCAGCUUGUUCUUGGACCCGGUUAUUGUUCAACCGGUCUCAAAGAUAACGACGGUGCCUAGAGGACCCUCAGUACAAUGAGCUUUUUUAAGCACGUAUUGCAGUGGUUUCUGGGCCCGGUCUUCCAAUCAUUUUUACAAGGUUGACCUCGGAUCAGGUAGGGAUACCCGCUGAACUUAA
rnacentral:misc_RNA from 1 species